UACGGGGGGGGCAAGCGUUGUUCGGAAUUACUGGGCGUAAAGGGCGCGUAGGCGGCCUGCUAAGUCACACGUGAAAUCCCUCGGCUCAACCGGGGAACUGCGUGUGAUACUGGCGGGCUUGAAUUCGGGAGAGGGAUGUGGAAUUCCAGGUGUAGCGGUGAAAUGCGCAGAUAUCAGGAAGAACACCCGUGGCGAAGGCGGCUCUCUGGGACGGUACUGACGCUGAGACGCGAAAGCGUGGGGAGCGAACAGG
rnacentral:rRNA from 1 species